rnacentral:rRNA from 1 species
AGGGUUUGAUUCUGGCUCAGGAUGAACGCUAGCGGCAGGCCUAACACAUGCAGGUCGAGGGGUAACAUAAAAAAGCUUGCUUUUUUGAUGACGACCGGCGCACGGGUGCGUAACGCGUAUACAAUCUGCCUUAUACUGGGGUAUAGCCUUUAGAAAUGAAGAUUAAUCCCCCAUAGUCUCUUUAAAUGGCAUCAUUUUAAGAGUAAAGGUUACGGUAUAAGAUGAGUAUGCGUUCUAUUAGUUUGUUGGUGAGGUAAUGGCUCACCAAGACUACGAUAGAUAGGGGCCCUGAGAGGGGGAUCCCCCACACUGGUACUGAGACACGGACCAGACUCCUACGGGAGGCAGCAGUGGGGAAUAUUGGACAAUGGAGGAAACUCUGAUCCAGCCAUGCCGCGUGCAGGAAGACUGCCCUAUGGGUUGUAAACUGCUUUUAUACAGGAAGAAACCGCUCUACGUGUAGAGCUCUGACGGUACUGUAAGAAUAAGGAUCGGCUAACUCCGUGCCAGCCGCCGCGGUAAUA